rnacentral:rRNA from 1 species
GGGGAAUAUUGCACAAUGGGCGCAAGCCUGGUGCAGCGACGCCGCGUGAGGGAUGAAGGCCUUCGGGUUGUAAACCUCUUUCGUCAGGGAACAAGGCAUUGCCUUUUUUGGUGGUGUUGAGGGUACCUGGAUAAGAAGCGCCGGCUAACUACGUGCCAGCAGCCGCGGUAAUACGUAGGGCGCAAGCGUUGUCCGGAAUUAUUGGGCGUAAAGAGCUCGUAGGCGGCUGGUCGCGUCUGUCGUGAAAACUUCCGGCUCAACCGGGGGCUUGCGGUGGGUACGGGCCGGCUAGAGUGCGGUAGGGGUAACUGGAACUCCUGGUGUAGCGGUGGAAUGCGCAGAUAUCAGGAAGAACACCGAUGGCGAAGGCAGGUUACUGGGCCGUUACUGACGCUGAGGAGCGAAAGCGUGGGGAGCGAACAGGAUUAGAUACCCUGGUAGUCCACGCUGUAAACGUUGGGCACUAGGUGUGAGGCUCCUUUCCGGGGGUUUUGCGCCGUAGCUAACGCAUUAAGUGCCCCGCCUGGGGAGUACGGCCGCAAGGCUA